rnacentral:rRNA from 1 species
UACGAGGGGGGCAAGCGUUGUUCGGAAUUAUUGGGCGUAAAGGGUGCGUAGGCUGUGCGGUAAGUCACCUGUGACAACUCUGGGCUCAACCCAGAGCCUGCAGGCGAAACUGCCGUGCUGGAGUAUGGGAGAGGUGCGUGGAAUUCCCGGUGUAGCGGUGAAAUGCGUAGAGAUCGGGAGGAACAUCAGUGGCGAAAGCGGCUUCCUGGUCCAGUACCGACGUUCAGGCACGAAAGCGUGGGGAGCAAACAGG